rnacentral:misc_RNA from 1 species
GAUGAAGAACGUAGCGAAAUGCGAUAAGUAGUGUGAAUUGCAGAAUUCAGUGAAUCAUCGAAUCUUUGAACGCACAUUGCGCCCUUUGGUAUUCCAAAGGGCAUGCCUGUUCGAGCGUCAUUUGUACCCUCAAGCUUUGCUUGGUGUUGGGCGUCUUGUCUCUAGCUUUGGUGGAGACUCGCCUUAAAGUAAUUGGCAGCCGGCCUACUGGUUUCGGAGCGCAGCACAAGUCGCACUCUCUAUCAGCAAAGGUCUAGCAUCCACUAAGCCUUUUUUUCAACUUUUGACCUCGGAUCAGGUAGGGAUACCCGCUGAACUUAAGCAUAUCAAUAAGCGGAGGA